UUACAUAUAUUUCCUGACAAACCGGUUACACUAAGACCCACGGAAACACGUAUGGGCUCGGGAAAGGGGUCCCCCGAAUAUUGGGUAUUCGUUGUUAAACCUAGUCGUAUACUUUAUGAAAUGGGGGGAGUAUCUGAAACUGUAGCUAGAGCAGCUAUCUCCAUAGCUGCCAGUAAAAUGCCCAUACGAAGUCAAUUUAUUCGAUUAGAGAUAUAG
rnacentral:rRNA from 1 species